rnacentral:rRNA from 1 species
UACGUAGGGUGCAAGCGUUAAUCGGAAUUACUGGGCGUAAAGCGUGCGCAGGCGGUGAUGUAAGACAGUUGUGAAAUCCCCGGGCUCAACCUGGGAACUGCAUUUGUGACUGCCCGGCUAGAGUGUGUCAGAGGGGGGUAGAAUUCCACGUGUAGCAGUGAAAUGCGUAGAUAUGCGGAGGAACACCGAUGGCGAAGGCAGUCCCCUGGGCCUGUACUGACGCUCAUGCACGAAAGCGUGGGGAGCAAACAGG